rnacentral:rRNA from 1 species
AACGAACGCUGGCGGCAGGCUUAACACAUGCAAGUCGAACGGAUCCUUCGGGAUUAGUGGCAGACGGGUGAGUAACGCGUGGGAACGUACCCUUUGCUACGGAAUAACUCAGGGAAACUUGAGCUAAUACCGUAUGUGCCCUACGGGGGAAAGAUUUAUCGGCAAAGGAUCGGCCCGCGUUGGAUUAGCUAGUUGGUGGGGUAAUGGCCUACCAAGGCGACGAUCCAUAGCUGGUCUGAGAGGAUGAUCAGCCACACUGGGACUGAGACACGGCCCAGACUCCUACGGGAGGCAGCAGUGGGGAAUAUUGGACAAUGGGCGCAAGCCUGAGCCAGCCGUGCCGCGUGAGUGAUGAAGGUCUUAGGAUUGUAAAGCUCUUUCACCGGUGAAGAUAAGGCCGGUAGCCGGAGAAGAAGCCCCGGCUAACUUCGU